AUUGAACGCUGGCGGCAGGCCUAACACAUGCAAGUCGAACGAGUGGCGGACGGGUGAGUAAUGUCUGGGAAACUGCCUGAUGGAGGGGGAUAACUACUGGAAACGGUAGCUAAUACCGCAUACCAUCAGAUGUGCCCAGAUGGGAUUAGCUUGUUGGUGGGGUAACGGCUCACCAAGGCGACGAUCCCUAGCUGGUAUGAGAGGAUGACCAGCCACACGGGAACUGAUACUCGGUCCAGGCUCCUACGUGAGGCAGCCGUGGAGAAUAUUGCACGAUGGGCGAAAGCCUGAUGCAGCCAUGCCGCGUGUAUUAAGAAGUCCUUCAGGUUGUAAAGUACUUUCAGCGGGGAGGCGUUACCCGCUGAAGAAGCACCGGCUAACUCCGUGCCAGCAGCCGCGGUAAUAC
rnacentral:rRNA from 1 species